rnacentral:tRNA from 1 species
GGGUCAGUCGUAUAAAGGUCAUUACGGAGGCUGUUAACCUUCUUAUCGUGGUUCGAGUCCACGCUGUCCCGCCA